ACAAUCACUCGCAGGGAGCUAAAUACAAAACAUACAGUAGAAGGCUACUGUUCCAAUUGAAAUUCUAUUAAAGAAGCUGAAAAGGAAGAUUAAUUUAUAAAGCUCUUUGGCUGCAUUCUUUGUAACUGCUGACUGGCAUCUGUGGGAAUUGUAAAGAUGAAAACAGGCCCUGACUCAAAGCAAUCCCUAUUGUUUUGCUUAUAUUUUCUAUGCCAUGCUUGUUGUGUGCCAUCGAAUGACACUGCCGACUCGUGCCAAUGGUUGUGGAUAAAUAGCAAUAAUCUGACAGUAAACUGCAUCAACAAGGACCUACGGGCUGUUCCUCAAGGAAUACCAGUACAAGCCUGCUCCAUUCAAUUGGGUGUAAACCAAAUUUCACAUGUAAGAAGAUCAGAUUUUCCCCACUAUGCUUUUAACACACUCAAACUCAACCUCAGCCACAAUCGCAUUGGAAAAAUAGCAGACAGGGCUUUUGGGAGUUUUCCAAACCUCGAACAACUGGACCUGAGUGACAAUAGGAUCAGAACACUAAGGGAUGACUCAUUCCAGGGGCUUUUAAAACUCAAGGAACUUCAUCUGGGACGAAAUGUCAUUUCAGAAGUCCCUCUGUUUCACGACCUUCUUAGUCUACAAGCUUUGUGGUUACAGAGCAACAGGCUUAUUCAAAUUCCAGCAGUGAAGUUCAUGGCCAGCCUCAAAGUCCUCUCUCUAGCAAGCAAUAAGAUUGUCUCGGUUGAUUCUGGAAGUUUCCGAGGCUGCGGCUCGCUGGCUGAACUGCACAUGCAGCACAACUUGAUAUCCAGAGUUGCUGGGGAGGGAUUUGACGGUCUUUUUCAG